UUUCUUUGUCAUCAACGUCAUCCCACCAUUGUAGAGAUUUUGUUGGAUGACAUGCGGCCCAUACUCUCGCCCCUUGUCCUCCAUCUCUGUUGGUACCCUUUCAUGGUUUCUUGUCCACUUCUUUCAUGAUUUAUUCUUUUCAAAUAGUAAUUCAGGCUGUUAUACUAAUUUGAUUGAUGUGGGUGGUGUAAUAAUUCAGGUCGUGCAGGAUGGUCUGCUAAUUUCCCUGAUGCUUCAUCAGGUUUCGCUUUUUGAUACAUUGAUUGAUUCCCAAUUUGAUGCAAAUAACCAAAAUGAAUGAAUUGAUGUGGCUGUUAUAAUAAAUUUUCCUUAUUUUGUGUGUGAUUAUGCUCAGGUUUUGGAAGCAUCGGGCUAAGGGGUGAUUAUGCUCAGGUUUUGAUGCAGUGAGAUUCAGAUAAUUUUAAGAAACACAUGUAAAGGAGUCCAAACAGGACGGGCUCGGUGUACAUGGUUUUCAGUUAAUGCAGUUUAGGUCUGACCAUCACAAGUGGCAACAGGCAGUAGUGGAGAAGGCAUGAAGAGGCCCACAUCUGAAAAUCUCAACUAUUCUAGGAUUUUCGAGCUGCUGACCAUGUGAUUGGUAGCCGACGAUUUCUUCAUGGGUUGCUGAUUUCUCAAGUUUUGCCUCACACAAAAGAGGGCUAGCAACACCUUUGACAGAAACAGCCAACAUUCAGUGCAGAUCCGGUAUAUUCUGGUUGUCUUCCAUUUAGUUGACGGCAUGCAAGACUGAUCUGAUGCAUCUACUGCUUGUUGACUUGGUUAUAUUUAUCUAUAAAGUGGCAGUGGUGCAGAAUAUAUCCUCUGCCAUGGAAGGAGGUAUUUGAUGCUGUCAGAUGGCAUAUAGGUCAAUAAUGAGGUGACUGCCGGGGUAAUCUCAGGAAGGGACAACAACACAAAUUAACUUUGUUGACAAGCUCACGAUCACGGGGAACAAGCCGUCCUGCAGUGUUUCCAUGUACUGCAAGUUGACGACAUGCUAUUACCCGCCAUUGUGUGUGUUUUGCAUAUUUUCCUAUUCAAUACUAUGAAGUUUUCCUCUGUUAUGCUCUUCUCAGGCAUGAAGGCCGACACUGAUUAUCAAGUGGUGCUUUAGAAAGUGCAAGUAUGUGUCACAAUAAUGCCUGGAAAUCAGCCAGUGGCUGGAUUAUUUGAGCUAUUUUGGCGUCUCUGCCAUCCUAUAGUUGUUCAGUUUUCUCUUUUGAAACGAGGCUAUCUAGAGGAUUUCAUGUUGUGGUUUAGGAAGUCCCAUGUGCAUACUUUUUGCAGGCAUCAGUGAAGAUUGGGAGGUAGAGAGGGAUUGCUCAAGUGGAAACAGAUCAAGAACCAGAAGGAGCUCAAGAUUUCGCUACUUCCUUGGUAAUAGCUUUGUGAGAUCAGUUAAAUAUUAUCCAGGACCAUGCACCCGCCCUUGACAAUGGCUUCCAGAAGCUAAGGUUGCAGGGGUGAAUUAAAGUUUGAUUUUCCAGCAGCGAGGUAACUACUACCGAUGGAGAUCAAACUAAUGAGCUCACGAAAAAAAACUAUAGACAUCAAACACCGAAGGAGGUUAGUUUUUACCUGA